GGGUGUUUAGCUCAGUGGCAGAGCGUCCCGUUCACAUCGGGAAGGUCGCUGGUUCGAAUCCAGCAAUACCCACAA
rnacentral:tRNA from 2 species